UACGUAGGGUGCGAGCGUUGUCCGGAAUUAUUGGGCGUAAAGGGCUCGUAGGCGGUUUGUCGCGUCGGGAGUGAAAACCCAGGGCUUAACUCUGGGCUUGCUUUCGAUACGGGCAGACUAGAGGUAUGCAGGGGAGAACGGAAUUCCUGGUGUAGCGGUGAAAUGCGCAGAUAUCAGGAGGAACACCGGUGGCGAAGGCGGUUCUCUGGGCAGUACCUGACGCUGAGGAGCGAAAGCCAGGGGAGCAAACGGG
rnacentral:rRNA from 1 species